GUCCGGACAUGACGUUACGCAAACUUACGCCAUGGAGGCGGUACCAUCUAUCACAUGAUCUUCACACACAGCUCGGACUUGUUAGUGGGAGAGUUUAUAACUUCGUCGACAGGAAAAAAUGCACAUAUCUAUAUGGGAUGCUUAUUCCCAGCCGGUUCUGGAAGAAUGCAACACCUGUUGCAAAAAACGUUUCCACUUCCCUCUUUGUCCAGCUUUUAAGCCGGCAAAGAGGGUCAAAAUUGAGAGACAUAUGGAUGUACAUAUGAAGAAUGCCGUUCAUUUCAAAGACAAAUGCAUCUGUAGGUGCAGACUCUCAUGCCGUGCAGAAGGCCAUUACCACUGCCCCUUCUGUCAAAAGACAAUUAUACGACGAGCGGAUAGGGAAAGACAUUUAAUAUCAUGCCAAGGGCCUCUUCCAGCUGUUCUACCUGUGGCCUCCGCCCCUUCUACAUAUGUGUUACUGGACACUCUGACUUCUUCUGUUUUAAACCAACUGCCAUUUACAUUGCACUGUGAGCAUGUGAAGCACCUUUUGUUUUGACC